GUAAACGCGAUGAAAAAGAAAGUAAAAUCAAGGUAGUUGUCUCUCAGAGAGUUCCGGCAGGUGAGAAGGAACGGCAAUGAAUGAUUUGAACAUGACUUUGGAGCGGAUUUUCUGACUGAAAUGAGGAAAAUACGGCAGCCCCGUUAACAAGCAGCAGUCUCCGUCAAUGAUCGGGUACUGAUUGAGGCAGGAUCUAUAUGAUUCUGCAAUGUAAGGUGGUACCGCAGGUAAAUGCCCUUAGU
rnacentral:ncRNA from 1 species